rnacentral:rRNA from 1 species
UAGGGAAUCUUCGGCAAUGGGGGCAACCCUGACCGAGCAACGCCGCGUGAGUGAAGAAGGUUUUCGGAUCGUAAAGCUCUGUUGUAAGAGAAGAACGAGUGUGAGAGUGGAAAGUUCACACUGUGACGGUAACUUACCAGAAAGGGACGGCUAACUACGUGCCAGCAGCCGCGGUAAUACGUAGGUCCCGAGCGUUAUCCGGAUUUAUUGGGCGUAAAGCGAGCGCAGGCGGUUAGAUAGGUCUGAAGUUAAAGGCUGUGGCUUAACCAUAGUACGCUUUGGAAACUGUUUAACUUGAGUGCAGAAGGGGAGAGUGGAAUUCCAUGUGUAGCGGUGAAAUGCGUAGAUAUAUGGAGGAACACCGGUGGCGAAAGCGGCUCUCUGGUCUGUAACUGACGCUGAGGCUCGAAAGCGUGGGGAGCAAACAGGAUUAGAUACCCUGGUAGUCCACGCCGUAAACGAUGAGUGCUAGGUGUUGGGUCCUUUCCGGGGCUCAGUGCCGCAGCUAACGCAUUAAGCACUCCGCCUGGGGAGUACGACCGCAAGGNUG